rnacentral:rRNA from 1 species
CAGUCGCCACGGUAACACCGGCACCUCGAGUGGUCAGGAGGUUUAUUGGGCCUAAAGCAUCCGUAGCCGGUUGCAUAAGUUUUCGGUUAAAUCUAUGCGCUUAACGUAUAGGCCGCCGAAAAUACUGUGCAGCUAGGGAGUGGGAGAGGUACACGGUACUCGAUAGGAAGGGGUAAAAUCCUUUGAUCUAUUGAUGACCACCUGUGGCGAAGGCGGUGUACCAGAACACGUUCGACGGUGAGGGAUGAAAGCUGGGGGAGCAAACCGGAUUAGAGACCCCUGUAGUCCCUGUCUCUUAUAC